AAAAGCUCUCCCACACUCAUGCUCCGAUUUCUUCUGUUUGGUCAGUAUUUCAACAGGGAGCGGUUUAAAAGCUCUGAAAUGGAAGCGUCGGACCUGACCAGCCAGGGCACGUUAUUCGUGUCCAGGACCGAGCCCGCCGCAGCCGUCGCCCUUCCGCCGCCUCCUCGUGUCCUCCAACUGGAUUUGCAGCAGCAAUGAUGGAAGUUCUUGCAGGGAGGCUACAAACCAUGCCAGCCUUAGCAAGACUAAUACUCUGCUGUUCCAUGGCUUCUAACAAGGCUUGAUGUUGAUUCCCCAUUUUAUCAAAUUCAUCUAUUCCACAGAUACCUGCAACCACAGUAAAAUAAUUCAGACAAAAAUUUUUCCUUUGGUCAAGUUUUAAACCUAACAGGAAAGAAAUUAUUCCACAAUAAAGCAUAUUUCCAUAAGUUUCCAGCAGUUAAAAUUAUGAAGUGUCAUACAGUACAAAAUUUGUGCUUGAUUUACAGCAAAUAAAAUAUUGGUCUUAUUUAACUGUUAUUUAAUUAGCAUUUUCCACAGGCAAAGCACUACAUGUGAGGGUUACAAAAAUGAAGAUAUGAGAAUAAGUCUCAAAAGCUUAAAGAGUUAAAUCUGAACAGAUGAGAUAAGGAUAUACACAUUCAAGAUAGUGUAUUUAACAACUAUAAUAGAUAUGCAUCAUCAUAUGAAUUUUCUGGGGGUGGGGUGGGAUUAAAAGAGGAAGGGGAAUCUGGAAAGGUUUCAAGAAAAAGGUGCUAUAUGAGCUGGGUCUUUUGGGAACAGUGGGCAGCAUGAUUUGGGAAGGAACACAUGGGCUCUAAAGUCAGAAGACUAGAGUGCAGGUCUCAGCAAUACCAGGUGUUAACUAUAGAAGUGUACAGUUAAUUGUACACUUAAACUCUUUAAAUAUGAAGACCCAUCACUGAAUGAAGGCAUUUUAUGUGCCAGAUGUAUUUUACAUCUAAUCCAGAGGUUAUUGGAGGCCCUCUAACAUUAUCUUGUAAUAUUUUUCCUCUCUUCUUCAUACCAUGAUAAUUUGGUGGUCAUGUCCCAAGGGCUUUGCUAUGGUUAAUCCUCUGUAUACCUAUUCUAGGUCAGUGCAGACCUCUCUGGAAUUGAUGGUAUUACUGGAAAUUCUUGAGAUUACUAGUAAUACUAGUAAUAGUAAUACUAUUACUAGUAAUAGUUCUUCAGAGGUGGGGACAGGGUAGGAAUAAAGUCAAGCUACUUCUCUGCCACUUUGCAAAGUUUAAAGCAGGAGCUGGCAAUCUUUUCCUAUAAACGGGCAGAUUUUGAUGUUUUGUGGGCCACAUACAGUCUUGUCACAUAUUCUUGGGUUUUUUGUUUGUUCUUUACAGUCCUUUAAAAUAGCUUGUGCCCACACGCCACAACUACUGAAACCCACAUAUCCUGUGCUCUGCAACGAGAAGCCCUCACACCACA